rnacentral:lncRNA from 1 species
GAGUCAUGUUUUUUAUUUUUUAUUUUUUAUUUUAAGAUUUUCAAUUUAUGUUUUUAAUUUUUAAUGAAUCGUCGUUUUAUCUAAGAAACUGACCCAUAGGUUUUGAUUUCUCCACGUAAGUGACACAUCAGCUUCGAUUUCGUCAGAGGCCUUCACCGUGGGAUAAUUGCAAACAAAUUAUAAAUUGAUGUAUUUCAUGGUCAAAUUAAAAGGUGAUGAUAUAAACCAG